ACCCUCUUGAAAUUAUUUGGGCUUUCAGCAGCUGCUAGUGGUUUUGAGACCUUUGUGUUCCCUGUUUUCCUGGCAUGCUCCAGCUCUUUUGGCUGCACCUGUGUCCUCUCUGAAAGCAGCAGCCGUAGGCUGUGGUAGAUCUAAUGGGAGCCACAUGGUCAAAGCAGCUCAGCACUGAACACACCAGCCUGCUCCUUUUUUCUCCCUCUGGAUAUGAGCAUCUUAGAAGAGCUCCAACACAGGGAGGAAGUGGUUUCUGAGGCACUUGAGGUCAAGAGGCAAUCCUCCACCUCCAUUGGCUGAGUGGCUGCACUGAGAGAAUCAAGGCACAACCACAAUCUCUUGUUGUAGUCUGAUUGAACUGUGGUGGUAUUUUGCCUGUUCUGGACCUCCUGAGUGUUUUCCUCUCUAAGCAGAAGUGGGAGAGUGAAGGUGCUCUCCUGAGCCUGCGUCGGGCAGCACUGGUGUGUAACAGUGGCUUCUUCUGUUAUAUCGACCUUCAGCAGGAGCAAUGCGAGUAGCAAGACUUUUCCUGGAAUUCAGAAGUUAUGAUGAAGGCUGCAGUAACUUUCAGCAUCGGAAUUACCAACAGUGUAACAAUGGAUCAGGCCUGUUUCAUCACAUGUGGCAACACAAGAUUAAAUAUUGCUGUGACUCAACAUUGUCACGUCAGGUGUCCCAGCCUGAAGCCAGUGGAGCCAUUGCAAUAGCGAUGGCAUCUUCAUCUCCACCCUUUUGGCCUUGCUACUGGAGAACUGGAGACAUCCCUGCAUGAGUACCUUUGCAGAGCAUGAAAGGCACUUCUUUCCCCUCAAAGGUACAACUGGAGAGGAGUCUCACAUGGCUCUAUCCUCUUGAAUGUCACUGCUGCUCUACAGAAACACAGCUGCCUCUAUGUUUUCCUGACUGUUUCUAAGAUGAUCAUCAAGGAC